rnacentral:rRNA from 1 species
UACGUAGGUGACAAGCGUUGUCCGGAUUUACUGGGCGUAAAGGGCGCGUAGGCGGCCACCGCAAGUCGACUGUGAAAUCUCCGGGCUUAACCCGGAAAGGUCAGCCGAUACUGCGGGGCUAGAGUGCAGAAGGGGCAACUGGAAUUCUCGGUGUAGCGGUGAAAUGCGUAGAUAUCGAGAGGAACACCUGCGGCGAAGGCGGGUUGCUGGGCUGACACUGACGCUGAUGCGCGAAAGCUAGGGGAGCGAACGGG